AUCCCUCACAACACUACAGCCUAGCAAACUACAACAAUGGGCGACAAUAAGACUCUCCCAUUUACUUCUUUUUUAGGUACAGUAAGGAGAUAAAUUGUAUUCUAGAGGAGCCAAAGUGGAAACAGUGGAGUUGAAAAUUGUAACGUCCACUAAAGGCACAGCAACAAGGACUGGGGUGGAAUGCUACGACAGAUGAACCCCCCGAGUUUGGAUGUUAGGGGUGGAUGCCUUGCUCACAGGUUUAAAGUGUUCUAACAUCAGCUAAGGGAGUAGGUGUGUGGAGCAGAAUGAUGCAAAAGUCAACUCAAGCAAUUUCAAUGACACUUUGUGGAGAUGUGAAGCAUGACCAAACCACUGGAAGGUGACCUACAUUAUUGCACCGUAGGCUCCAGAGACAUUUAGCAGGCUGCAUCCUGGCACCAGAAAGCACACUCAAGUGUUCCGACUGAGACGAGCGGAAGACGGCAGUGUUGAGCACAGCAGCGGUGGUGGUGUUGGAUUAGCGCUCCUGGAGGGCCUAGCCGCCUUUUGAUAUGUGGCACAACCUCAUGAAGAAACACACAUACACUAGAGGGGAAUGCUAAACGGUGAGAUGGAAUCCUCUAUAUGAAUCAUUGAUGACACCCCCCACACCCUUCGCACUCCAAAAUCUGAUACCUGCAGGCCAAAAAAAAGCGAAUGUUAUGUUUUCAUUAAAGGCACC